rnacentral:rRNA from 1 species
GCAAUCUGCCCCUGACUCUGGGAUAACAGUUGGAAACAGCUGCUAAUACCGGAUACGAGACGUGACCGCAUGGUCGACGUUUGGAAAGAAUUUCGGUCAGGGAUGAGCUCGCGGCCUAUCAGCUUGUUGGUGAGGUAAUGGCUCACCAAGGCGUCGACGGGUAGCCGGCCUGAGAGGGUGACCGGCCACACUGGGACUGAGACACGGCCCAGACUCCUACGGGAGGCAGCAGUGGGGAAUAUUGCACAAUGGGCGAAAGCCUGAUGCAGCAACGCCGCGUGAGGGACGACGGCCUUCGGGUUGUAAACCUCUUUUAGCAGGGAAGAAGCGAAAGUGACGGUACCUGCAGAAAAGCGCCGGCUAACUACGUG